UAAGCAUAUCAAUAAGCGGAGGAAAAGAAACCAACAGGGAUUGCCCUAGUAACGGCGAGUGAAGCGGCAACAGCUCAAAUUUGAAAUCUGGCGCAAGCCCGAGUUGUAAUUUGUAGAGGAUGUUUCUGGCGACGUGCCUUCCGAGUUCCCUGGAACGGGACGCCAUAGAGGGUGAGAGCCCCGUACGGUUGGAUGCCUAGCCUCUGUGAAACUCCUUCGACGAGUCGAGUAGUUUGGGAAUGCUGCUCUAAAUGGGAGGUAUACGUCUUCUAAAGCUAAAUACCGGCCAGAGACCGAUAGCGCACAAGUAGAGUGAUCGAAAGAUGAAAAGCACUUUGAAAAGAGGGUUAAAAAGUACGUGAAAUUGUUGAAAGGGAAGCGUUCAUGACCAGACUUGGGCAGGUUGAUCAUCCGUGGUUCUCCGCGGUGCACUCUGCCUGCCCAGGCCAGCAUCAGUUCGCCCCGGGGGAUAAAGGCUUUGGGAAUGUGGCUCCCUCGGGAGUGUUAUAGCCCACUGUGUAAUACCCUGGGGUGGACUGAGGUUCGCGCUCUGCAAGGAUGCUGGCGUAAUGGUCAUCAACGACCCGUCUUGAAACACGGACCAAGGAGUCGUCUUCGUAUGCGAGUGUUCGGGUGUCAAACCCCUACGCGUAAUGAAAGUGAACGUAGGAGAGAGCUUCGGCGCAUCUCCGACCGAUCCUGAUGUUCUCGGAUGGAUUUGAGUAAGAGCAUACGGGGCCGGACCCGAAAGAAGGUGAACUAUGCCUGUAUAGGGUGAAGCCAGAGGAAACUCUGGUGGAGGCUCGCAGCGGUUCUGACGUGCAAAUCGAUCGUCAAAUAUGGGCAUGGGGGGCGAAAGACUAAUCGAACCUUCUAGUAGCUGGUUUCCGCCGAAGUUUCCCCUCAGGAA
rnacentral:rRNA from 1 species